rnacentral:lncRNA from 1 species
ACUGAGCUGUUUGCUUCCUGGGCGCAGUAGUGCGAUCGUAGAGUCUCAAAUGGUGCCUCCUCCGCCAGAUGGAAACAAAAAAUAGAAACAAAACUUAUGAGAUUGAAGCAGAGUAGUAAGCAAAAAUUACAUAAAAAUUGAUUAACAGAAGACAGAGACUACCCAACGGCAUUUUAAUGAGAUCACCAGGUCAUACCUGUAAGUCAUACAUGUAAUCAAAUAUAUGUGAUUCCAUCAGAAAAUAUAAAAAUUACAACAAAUUACCGAAGGCAGCAGAGUUUAAGAACAGCCGGAGAAAAGUAACUUAAGCAACGUACGUACCCAAAUCGAUACGUUGGUUUGAUAGACAAUUGAAUUUGGAAUUAACGAUUCUGAUACCAAUCUUUCACUCUCCCUCUCUCUCUCUCUCUGGGUUUUAGAUUGCCCUACUCCUCAAUCUGUGUGAUUCUACAGAAAUUUAUUACCAAGGGUAGUAAAGGAAAAAGAAUCACAUACCACAGAAUAGGCAUAAUUGAACAGUACCUUUCAUAACCAAAGGCAGCCAAAUUGAAAAAACUGUAUCUUUCAACGCACAAUCAUUAAAUGCAAUCACCAAAGAAGUACCCCUUAAGCUUAAUUGAUUAUGAUCUUCUCUUUCCAGCAGGGCAGCACCAACCAAAAACAGAGUAGAUUAGAGAAUCAUACCACAGAAUAGACAUAAUUGAACAUUACCUUUUAUUACCAAAAGCAGCCAAAGUGAAAAAACAGUAUCUUUCAUCACACAAUCAUCAAAUGCAAUGCCCAAACAAGUACCCUUUGAACUUAAUUGAUUAUGAUCUUCUCAUUCCUGCAGAGCAGCACCAACCAAAAAACAGAGUAGAUUAGAGACGCAACUAAAACAAAAUCCGAUUUCUCUUAGUUUCACACUCUCACAUUGCAAAGCUGCACUGAUACAGGAAAAAGUAAAAUACAAAGAUGCAUUUGUUUGGCAAAUAAUUUAAAAUUGUACCUCAAAACUUCAUCCAAUCCCGCCCUAGUUCUUCAUUCAAAAUCUUAAACACACUUGCUCUGCAUCGAAUGGAAAAAAAAUAAAUUAAAAGAAGAGGAUUAUGUGAUAGAACUAAAAGAAAAGCAUGAGAAAUUAUGGACACUGUAAUCUGAGUUGCCUAAAUGACUAUAUAUUUGCAGAUAACAUAACAUAACAUAACAUAAAUAACAAUAACAAUAACAAUAACAAUAAAUAAAAUAAUAAAAAUAGAUCGACAUUUUAAAAAUAAUAAUAAUAAAUAAAAGCCUAAAAAAGUUUAAUCAGAAAAGUGCAAAAUUAAUUUUACAUGCUCAGCCACACUAAAGCUUGAAUACCCCUUUAGAGCUUCAUUUUCACCGAAAAAUGCAUACCAUCAACUUAGGAAAAAAUAAUUCCAAAGAACCCAACAAACUUUGAUCGACUGAAGGAUCCAAGAAAAAGCAGCUGGAAUGAAACAAAACAUAGUAAAGUGGGGAGAUAAGAGUAUCAGCCAAAACUAAACAGAUACCUUUUUUUUCAUUGGACAUGUUAAAAGUUCAAAUACUGAUAGUUCACAUGGUGAUCUUGGCCUACCCAUUUGGAUAAAUAGGAAAAGAUUGUAAACAACACACUAAGAACUACCACAAUUGAGAUAAUAGAUGAAACUGCAUCCAGGAACCCAGAAAGAGAGGUAGAGUGCCUAGAAUCCUGUACAGAAAUAAAAAAGAGAUUACCUUUCUCAUGAAAGCCAAACAACGAUGUCUAUAAUUCAUUGACCACUAUACAAAAAUUUGUGAGCCAGAAACGUAAUUCUAAAUGAAAGCUAAACAAACUAAUGAAAGUAUAUAGUUGGCAAAAGAAAAUUCAGCUAUCUUUAUGACAAUUGUAGGGUGGAGGUGAGAGAGAAGAUCGAUCUCUGUGUUAAAUUGUUUCUCCAAUCGAGCUGCCAAGAGGGAGGUAUGAAAUACAAAAAGGGGUUUAAUACCAAUUAGCCGAAUACAAAAUCAUAUAUUACAUGGCGAGCUCUCACCUUGACAACACCGUGUAAAAGCAGGAAUUGAAGUCACAGGAGGUUGAUUCUCUACAUCAGUCCUAUUAGCCUGAAAAUCGAAAUUACACAACUUCAGGUUACAGUCAAGUUUAGCCUAGGGGUUUGGAAGGCGCUCCACGAUCUGAAGAUUGUCAGCAGAAGCAAUAAAAAAAAAACAGAAAGAAGAUAGAGAUAAGCCGGCUACCUGAAUUUGUUCCAGAUGAAAAAGUUGAGCUUCUUGGAUGGCGUAAGCUCCUCCAUCCAAGUAGUGCGGCAUUUGAACGAGGAAAAUAACAAUAGGGCAGGUAAUUAGAUCAGAAACAGUUCGGAUAUCAAAAAGAGAGCAAAGAAGAUCAAAAUUCAGAUUCACAAUAUAAAAAACGAAAUAACAAACUUGGAGAAGUAAGCACACCUGAAAAAAUAUAACCCCCUUACAGCUUCACACACACACAGCACCACCUUCAAUCUAAAAUCCAAUUCCAAAACACAUGCAGAACAACAAACCAUACAGUUAAAAGUAAAAAGGAAGCGAAAUACUUAUCAAAGUUAAGGAAACAUUCGAGUGACUACAAUACUCAAACUCGUACUCCAUCAGUCACACUUGUACACAUUCUUCAGUUCAUCUCUUUACCUCAGGAUAAUCAACAAAACAGAUGUUGGAAUUAGUUUUGGUUUAAAAAAAGGAUUGCUGAUCUAAAAGUGAUAAUAAAAUUCAGUGUGAAAGACGAAUUCCUUACCAGAUUUAUAGGAUCUAAACGCGAUUGUCUUUCCACUAAGCUCCAGAGCUGCACAUUAAUCACCAAAAAGAAUUUUAAGCACAUUUAACACCAAACUCUAAUAGUUUUUUUUAGCCUUUACAAUACUAAAAACAAAAGUAAAGAAGCAAUCAUCACCUUCCCACCAGCAUUGCCCUGUACAAAUGAAAGGAAUAAAUUGCAACACUGAUACAGCAAUAAUGAACUUGAAGAGCAUGACAAGUUGAAAAAUCCAUGUUGAUAAGUAUCAUUUCAGUAGGCAACUAUUCAUAUAUUCAAGUGCAUCAAUCAUAUUGCAUGAAAUAAAGUAUUCCAAACAACCAAUUUUGAUUAAAAUGCUUAUCAGACUGCGCUACACAUAUAAUGAAAUCAGAAAUUACUCACACCAUUGUAAGACUGAGGCAAUAGAUCAGUGACACCAAUUCCCCUGAUAUAUUAUUGUGCCCAAACCUCCUGCAAUAAUUUUCAUCAGUGGCAAAACAAUAUCAAAACGAAAACGUCAAGUCUCAGUACCUAAAUAUCCUAAACUUUGGACCACAAAUGACAUGGGCACUUACAGUGAGAACAAAUUCCGCAGUUCUUGAGGAAUCAAAAAUUUCACAGUUGGAUAAAAUCAAGCUAUCCAUAUAGAUGCAACAACAUCUAUAUCAAACCUAAAACUCACUUUUCAAGCUUCACUUUUCAUAUCUAGUCUGUCCCAAUCCAAUUUAAGACCAGCUUUUUAUAUUCACAAACUUUCCAAAACAAACACCCAAUUUAUAACCAAUGCACAUUGCACUAUCAACGCCAUAUAAAUCUAAACCCACACAAAAACCCACCAAAAAUUGAAAAGCAACAUGUUUUAGUACAAUAACGAUUGGAUCAAAUACACCUUAUAAACCCCAACGGAAUUCUAAUUAAACACUUGCUUUGAAAGAAAACAUAUCAAUAAUUAUACCUGUAACCCGAAAACCCAGAAUUACCUUCCCUAUUCUUGCUGAUGAUACGCUGCAAAUUUAUUCAAGAUCGGAAAGAGAUCAACAUAGAUCAGAAACAGUUCAAAUUUCAAAAAGAGCGCAAAGAAGAUCGAAAUUCAGAUUCACAAUAUAAAAAACGAGAUAAAAAAAACUUGGGAGAAGUAAGCAAUCAUGGAAAAAUAUAACCCCCUUAUAGCCUCACACACAGAGCACCACCUUCAAUCUAAGAUCCAAUUCCAAAACACAUAAAGAACAAACCAAACAGUAAAAAGUAAAAGGUAGGAAGCAAAAAUACAUAUCAAAGUUAGGGAAACAUUCGAGUGAACCCAACCGUUCUCAAGUAAAACUGUUGCACAAUUCCUAAAUGUCACACUUUCCUUGGCAUGACUUUAACACAGAUACAGAGAAGUCAUGAAAAGGUUAAAGCUCUUCCCUUUUUUCUAUUUUCCUUUUGCUGAUUGGUUUGAUCCGAAUUGAGAUAUUGUUCGGUAUCAUUGAUAAGUACUAUCAAAACCGGGUUUACAGAUGGGGCUUGGGGAAACAAAUUCAAACAAAUAGGAACUUCUCACUAAGUUUGAAGCACAAUUCUCAAGCACGAAAACCUAAAAACCGUAAAUAAACAUGACUUGAGAGCAAAAAACCCAAACCAACUGUAAACUUCAAAAAUUCAUUUCUCACCUGAAAUUGAACAAACAGGAGAAGCUUUAGAAAUUUAUAUGGAUAGCUUAUUUGAGUAUGUUGCAUGUAAACUGUAACUUUAUCUGAUAAACUGCUAAAAAAUGAAAAUCAAAUCAGCAAGCUACUGGAAUUUGGUGCAAUCGAUCAUUGAGGUCCUAGACUGCAGAACAGACAAACGCCGAAUCAGCUCAAAUCAAGUAAUGGGAACGGUUAUCCUUCUUGAAAUGAUAAGCACAAUCUCAAACAGUAUAAAAACCACACAAACGGAAUGAAAAAUUUUGAAAAAUUCAAAAGCACUCAACUUAUCUAUUCGAUCUGAGCAGAGGAUUGGGAACUUCCCAAAUCUAUAGUCCCAUGAAUCCGUCUUGGGGAAAAUUUAUAUUGCACUCUUUGCAUUCAAACACCAAAUUUCAUGCCACCAAAAAAAUUCAAAUGAAAACACAAUAAAAAUUCAAAUGCAAAAGCAAAAGCCAAUAAAGUCAAGCAUAACAACAUCAAGAAUAUACCUGAUUUAAAAUCUGGCUCGAAAAUCAGACGCUGACAAACACAGCUACCGAAAUCAUCUUUCUCCCUGUCACAAAAAAGCGGUCUCAAUCCAAAAUUCGAUACCCAUAUUUCAAAUUGCCGAUAAAUCAAAAACACAUAACCAAAUUUCAAAUUUACCAUGAAAAAAGAAACCCAAAUGAUAACCCAAAACCAAAACUGAAAUCAAUCAAAGAAUUACCCAGACUGCUAUGUCAAUUGACCGGUCAAGAACAACAGAAAAAUCAUUACACUUUAAUUAGAGGAUGGUGAACAACAGGAAAGGAGAUUAAAGCAAUUGAGCUAGUAAUUACAUUCACCAUCUUUAGCUUCCGGCCAGAUCCAGUUAUCUCUGCAAUUUUGUAUUCUGGUGGCACUCGAAAGCAAAAAGAAGAUAGAAAGAAAGAAAAAUCAUAUUGAUACUCAGAUUAAGCAAAGAUGAAAAUUAAAUCAAGUAGAUGAAAGCAAAGUUUUCUUUCAUUGAAGCCACUAUAUAAUCGAUACAGUUUUCUUUAUUUGAGUAUAUUGCAUGUAAACUUUAAAACUAUACCUAAAAAACUGCUUAGAAAGGAAACUCAAAUCAGCAACCUAUAUACUGGAAUUCGGUGCAAUCGAUCAUUGAGGUGCUAGACUGCAGCACAGACAAAACCCGAAUGUGCUCAAAUCAAGGAAACAGAAAACCCAGUCAAAAAUAACAAUGUGCAUCACAUUCUUCAUCAGAUAAAAGAUAAAACAUGCUGUCAUGUUUGAAAAGAUAGCGACUGCCGAGGAUCAAAGCAAUUGAGCUAGUACUUACAUUCACCAUCUUUAGUUUCCAGCCAGGUCCAGUUAUCUCUCCAAUUUAGUAUUCGGGUGGCACUCGAUAGCAAAAAGAAGAUAAAAAGAAAGAAAGAAACGAAAAUCAGAUUGAAACUCAGAAAGAAGGAAAUACAGUGUUCUUUAUUUCAGUAUAUUGCAUGUAAACUGUAACUUUACCUGAUAAACUACUAAAAAAAAUGAAAAUCAAAUCAGCAAGCUAUAUACUGGAAUUCGGUGCAAUCGAUCAUUGAGGUCCUAGACUGCAGAACAAACAAACACCGAAUCUGCUCAAAUCAGGUAAUGGGAACGGUUAUCCUUCUUGAAAUGAUAGGCUCAAUCUCAAACAGUAUAAAAACCACACAAAAACAGAAUGAAAAAUUUUGAAAAUUCAAAAGCUGCACUCAACUUAUCUAUUCGAUCAGAGCAGAGGAUUGAGAACUUCCUAAAUCUAUAGUCCCACGAAUCCAUCUUGAGGAAAAUUUAUAUCGCACUCUUUGCAUUCAAACACCAAAUUUCAUGCCACAAAAAAAAAUUCAAAUGAAAACACAAUAAAAAUUCAAAUGCAAACGCAAAAGCCAAUAAAGUCAAGCAUAACAACAUCAAGAAUAUACCUGAGAAACUAACAAAUUGGAUCCCGCCCAAAAUCAACCAAACUCGACCAGGCACAUGUUGUUGACAAAUCAUCCAUAGAUUUUCACCCAAAGAUAUCUCAUCGGCUCUACACCGAAAAUGAAAAAAAAAAAAAAUAUGGAUAGAACCAAAAGAAAAGGAUAAGAAAUACUGAGACAUUAGAGCUGCUCAAAAUAUGGACUAAUAAGAAUAAAAUGGACUUCAAUGGUGGUAUUUUUUUUUUUACCAAGAUCAAAGGCCCAAGGGGCUUGAACUCUAUUUGAAUCACAUAACACAGUUAUGGGAACAAAUUAAACCCUAGACAAAGAGCAAUAUGACAGCUCACAACUAUUGAACAUGAAAAACAAUCUUGAAUUUGCUUCCGGUGAUGAUACACAGUUCACUUUUAGCUUUACCUGAAAUGCAGGUGGCUGUGGGGUACUUCUUGACAUUGCAGGUAAUGAUGGUGCUUUAAGAAUCUGUAAUGACCAACAAAGUCCAGUGAAUCAACGAUAUAGAUCGUGACUGAAAGUUGAGAUCAGGCCAUAGCUUGAGUACCUUUUUGUUUACUGGAUGAGCCUUAAACUUUGGAAUUUUGGCCAUCACCUCUUCUUCCAGCUCAGCAGUGCUCUUCACUCUAACUGAGCGCACACGCUGUGAUGUCUCAAAUUCUGACUCCUUUGGUCUUGUUAAGGUGAGUUUAGGCUUCAUCUGAAUAAUAGAAACAACAUCAACCUCUAUAGCAAAGAAAAAAAAAUUAUUCAACCUGACCAACUAAAUAUAUAUAAAAAAAAGUGUAAAGUGAAACAACUUUAAGCAGGGUGAAGCUCCAUUACGUGUGAAAGAGAACCAUUAGCAUGCGGCAGCGACAAGUCUCUGGUACUUGAUGGGAACCUGUUCAUCAUUUCUGCCAUUGAAACAAAUGGUGCUGCAGGUUCCCGAACAUAAAUCUGGAGAUUGGGAAAGGAUCAACUACUCAAUUCUGAUACUGCAUAACAACAUGGAGUGCAAAAGAGAGAUGAAAAGCACAAACCGUCAUGUCCUGUCCUCUUUUUGAGUUUUAAUAGCUGUUGAAAAAUGUGUGGCACUGGUAUGACCCAGUUUUGACUUGUGGAGCAAUGUUAGGGAUUAAGAAUCUGCAUUUUAAGGGCACAAGGAAAAACAAUCAGGGGAAAUGUCUAGAAAUAAUCUUCACCAAACGACAACAAAGAGGCUUCUAGAUGUGAGCCAACACAAAUUACAGAACUAAAAGUAACCUGUCUAGAUGUAACCCAUGAAAAAAAUUGAAAUCAAACAAAGAAUUACCCAGACGGCUAUGCCAAUUGACCGCACAUGUACAACAGAAAAGGCAUUGCACUAUAAUAAGAGGAUGGUGAAAAACAGGAAAGAAGAUUGAAGCAAUUGAGCUAGUACUUGCAUUCACCAUCGUUAGUUUUCAGCUGGGUCCAGUUAUCUCUCCAAUUUUGUAUUCUGGUGGCACUCGAUAGCAAAAAGAAGAAAGAAAGAAAAAUCAGAUUGAAACUCAGAUUAAGCAAACAUGAAAAUUAAAUCAAGCAGAUGAAAGCAAAGUUUUAUUUUUUAUUUUUUAUUUUUUAUUUUUAAGCCACUAUACAAUCGACACAAUUUUCUUUAUUUGGGUACAUUAUAGGUAAAGACGGUAACUUGACCUGAAAGACUGCUUAAAAAUGAAACUCAAAUAAGCAAGCUAUAUACAGGAAUUCGGUGCAAUCAAUAAGCCUUGGCAAUGUGCUUUAUGUUGAAUGUUCUUGAUUAUUAUUAUGCAGAACCACACAUUAUAUUUAAGUGCGCAUGUAAAAUAAGCAAAAUGCACAGGACUAAUUUGGGUUAAACAGUAAUACCUCAACCAUGAGAACACCAGACAUAAUAGGCCUCUCUAGGAAAUGGCCAGGGAAAAAGUUCUCAUUGAUCGUCACAUCUUAAUAGCAACAGUUGAAACACCUGGGUUGUACUGGAUCUCUCUAUCCACCAAAAGAAAUGGAAACCUGCAAAACACCCAAAAGCCAAAAGCCUAAAAGAUCAAAACUUUAGAAACAAUCACUAAAACCAUCCAAUACCCACCAACCAAAAACAGAUAAAAAACCAAGACCACUCACCUGUGAGGCAAGAUUUCACAUAUUUGAUUGAUACCAAUCACUGUUGGAAAAGGUGGGAAUUCCGAUCAGAAUAGCCUCACUGAAUGAUUUGCUAAAACAGAUAAAAGCACUGAAAUUGAAGUCAAAAUUGAAGAAUGUGCUUACCCAAUUCAAUUAGGGAGUCUUUGGGUUUGGCCCUUUGGGGGCAUCUUCUUGAGAAGAACAACACAAAUGAGAUUAGAUUGGAGAAGAAAUAUAACACUACAGAGUGAACUAACUAAGAAGACUAAUGAUAACAUAGUUGUUUAAGCUGAAGAAAGUUCAUACCAGUCGACUUUCCCACCGAUUCCAAAGCAUUUCUUCCGGCCUCUUGAUCUAUGCUAUUGCCAACUGCAGCUGUACAUAUCUCAGAUAGUAACGAACCCCAAUUAGAAUAGUAUUGUGUCAAUUUUUUCUGUAUCUUGCGUACAAACAUCAAAAGGUGUCACUAAUGUUGUUUUGAGAAUUUUGCCUUACCCUCAAGAAGCAGCCUCCUGUCCAUUGAUUCCAUCUCUCUUCUUCCUUCCUACCCCAGUCGUCUGCGAUCAAAUUCAGAAAUCAUGCCUCAAAUCCAAAAUUUAAAUUCGUAAAAGUAUAUCAAGUACCGCGCAGAUUCGGAAUGAACCAAAAUAACUUUUGAGAAGUAAAAUAAAAAAAAUUGAAGAUGGUAUAAAUUCUACAUCAAUUGAGCUUUCAUCAAGAGUGACAUUAAAAGCUACAGACUCAAUUCAAUGAGUGCUUACCAAUGCAUCGAGCAAAGCAGAGAACCACUCCCCACAGCCACAUAAUAUCCAACAUAAGAGUUUUUAAACAUCACAAUGCAAUAACAGUAAGUGGCAGCAGUAGCAAUGACUUUUAAAUAUCAGGUUUUCACACAGGAAUUUUGAUACAACUCCAUCAUCUCAAAACAUACCCAAAUUAGAUAAUACUUGAUCCUAUAGAUGAAGAAUGACACCCUCUAUAAAAAAAACUGUCAGAUUUAUACCCAAUUGAGGAGUUCAAGAACCAGAUAAGUCCUUGAAUCCAACAGGUUCCAUACUGAAAAAGAACAACAGUAGCCUGCCUGACUUCACCCAAAAGCCAAAAGCCUAAACGAUCAAAACUUUAGAAACAAUCACUAAAACCAUCCAAUACCAACCAACCAAAAACAGAUCAAAAACCAAGACCACUCAACUGUGAGGCAAGAUUUCACAUAUUUGAUUGAUACCAAUCACUGUUGGAAAAGGUGGGAAUUCUGAUCAGAAUAGCCUCACUGAAUGAUUUGCUAAAACAGAUAAAAGCACUGAAAUUGAAGUCAAAAUUGAAGAAUGUGCUUACCCAAUUCAAUUAGGGAGUCUUUGGGUUUGGCCCUUUGGGGGCAUCUUCUUGAGAAGAACAACACAAAUGAGAUUAGAUUGGAGAAGAAAUAUAACACUACAGAGUGAACUAACUAAGAAGACUAAUGUUAACAAAGUUGUUUAAGCUGAAGCUAGUUCAUACCAGUCGACUUUCCCACCGAUUCCAAAGCAUUUCUUCCGGCCUCUUGAUCUAUGCUAUUGCCAACAGCAGCUGUACAUAUCUCAGAUAGUAACGAACCCCAAUCAGAAUAGUACUAUAUCAAUUUUUUCUGUUUCAUUUAAAGAAACAGCUUAGGCGUACAAACAUCAAAAGUGUCAGUAAUGUUGUUUUGAGAAUUUUGCCUUACCCUGAAGAAGCAGCAUCCUGUCCAUUGAUUCCAUCUCUCUUCUUCCUUCCUACCCCCGUCGUCCGCGAUCAAAUUCAGAAAUCAUACCUCAAAUCCAAAAUUUAAAUUCGUAAAAGUAAAGUAAAAUAAAAAAACCACGAAUCAAUAGUCCCACGAAUCCAUCUUGGGGAAAAUUUAUAUUGCACUCUUUGCAUUCAAACACCAAACUUCAUGCCACCAAAAAAAAUUCCAAUGAAAACACAAUAAAAAUUCAAAUGCAAAUGCGAAAGCCAAUAAAGUCAAGCAUAACAACAUCAAGAAUAUACCUGAUUUGAAAUCUGGCUCGAAAAUCAGAUGCUGACAAACACAGCUACCGAAUCAUAAAAAAGCGGUCUCAAUCCAAAAUUCGAUACCCAUAUCUCAAAUUGCCAAUAAAUCAAAAACACAACCAAAUUUCAAAUUUACCAUGAAAAAAGAAAACCAAAUGAUAACCCAAAACCAAAACUGAAAUCAAACAAAGAAUUACCCGGACUGCUAUGCCAAUCGACCGGACAAGAACAGAAAAAGCAUUACACUUUAAUAAGAGGAUGGUGAAAAACAGGAGGGGAGAUCAAAGCAAUUGAGCUAGUAAUUACAUUCACCAUCUUUAGUUUCCAGCCAGGUCCAGUUAUCUCUGCAAUUUUGUAUUCUGGUGGCACUCGAAAGCAAAAAGAAAGAAAAAAAUACGUUUUCUUUAUUUAAGUAUAUUACGUGUAAACUGUAACUUUACCUGAUAAACUGCUAAAAAAUGAAAAUCAAAUCAGCAAGCUAUAUACUGGAAUUCAGUGCAAUCGAUCAUUGAGGUCCUAAACUGCAGAACAGGGCAAACACCGAAUCAGCUCAAAUCAGGUAAUGGGAACAGUUAUCCUUCUGGCAAACUGAAGCAUUAAAGACUCAUUAGGACCCUCUCCUGAAACUGACGCAUUUAAGACUAACUUAAAGAGACCUUAAGACUUCUAAACUGAAAUGGAAAUAUGAAAAGACACAGGCAGCUUAGAGACUUCAGGAAUCAGACUUUGUUUCCCUCCCGGGUGCAACAAUUAUUUUGAAUGAUUAGGUGCUUUCUCUUUCCAUUUGUUUCGCUCAUAAACCUUGAAAGGUUUGACUAUGAUGUCCUCAUCAAUUCUCCCUGGCUGAGAAGAGCUCGCCUCCGGCGAGAUAAAACUGUAGUAUCUUUCCAAGAUAUCUGGAUUGGUGUGCUGCAGCUCCUCCUUGUCAGAGUCAGGUUUUUCUUUCCAUUUAAUUGAAUACUUCUGGUAGCCUCCUUGUCUUGUUGAAACCACCUGCUCAUCCACAAUGUUUUCUACCACAUCUCUUGGGACGAUGAUGUUAAGCGAUUUUGCCUGCUGCCCUCCCUUGCAAGGUAGUUGGGGUACCGGUUUUGGCUGGAUAGGAUUCAGCUUGAUGUGCUUUCCUUCAUGAAUAAAGGAACACGAGUUGGAACGGCCGGAAAUGGUCACAUCUAGAUCAUACAACCAUGGUCUGCCCAAAAGAAUGUGUCCCACGUCCAUUGGCACCACAUCACACCAAACAGUAUCCUUGUAUGAUGAGAAUUGAAUAGGAACCUGACACCGUUGUGUUACGGGAAUAGAACACUUAUCAAUCCAUGCCACAUGAUAAGGUUGAGGAUGAUCAGCAGGGGACAACCCCAGGUUAGAGAUGGUUGGAGGGGAGACAAUAUUGACACAGCUUCCAUUGUCAAUGAUGACCUUAUAACUUCUGUCUCCAUAAGUGUGAAAGAUGCUGGUCCUCUUCCAAUCUUCAGCCGCUUUGGGUUGAGUCAAAGUGCACCUUACCACCGCCGUUCUUGGUUGAAUUUGGGCAAUAGGUUCAUCCUCCAAGUCAUCAUCAACGGCAGGAAUUUCAGGGAUAUAAACUUCUUCCUCCAAUUCCUCUCAAGCCUCUUUUCCUGUGCUUGCUGCAAACAGACUACGAUGUUUCUCUUUGGUUGGGCAUUGGCCAGCAUAGUGACCAUGGCCUAGACACUUGUAGCACUUUACAGAUCCCCCUCCUCGAACACCAGAUUGCACUCCCUUUCCUGUAUCAGCUUUCACAAAUGAAUUGGCAGUACUGGAGCUAUUGGCAAAUGGAGAUGGUGCUGUUCCCGAUGAGCUGGGACGAAAUUCAGGAUUUUUCUGGUCAAAUCGGCUAUGCACAGUUGUAGGAGUCUGCAAGUAGCGCUCCAAUUCCAGCACUAUCUGGUAUGCUCGCUCCAAUGAAUAUACUUCAUGAGGAAUCAGCUCCCUCUGAAGUUCUGGACAAAGGCCGGUUCUAAAACGAGCGAGUCACAAAAGGAUCUUCAUUUAUGUUGCAUCUCACCAUAAAUUCUUCAAACUUAUCAAUAUACUCAGCAGCUGUCAUGUUCCCUUGACGAAGAGAUUGCCACUGAUUCAGCAAGCGCUCUUUGUAAGCCAAAGGAACGUACUUCUCCUUCAGCCUUUCUUUCAUCUCCUCCCAAUGAAUGAUAGGUUCAUCACCGGCUCUUGCAGCUCGCCUUUCCACACCACUCCACCAUUCUCUAGCUUUGCCCACCAACUUCAUCUUUGCAAACCGCACCCUUCGAGUUUCAGACAACUCGUACCAGUCAAAAUAGUGGUCCAUGUCUGAUAUCCAAUCCAGACACACCUUCGCAUUCAGCUGGCCAUCAAAGUUUGGAGCUUCAACUAUGACAGACUUCAAUGCUUUUUCCUCAGGAUCAUGUCCAUCUUGCCCAUUGUUGUUUCGAACAGCCUGCCUGCGAACAUUCCUCCUAGACUGCAUCCUUGAUCCUCCACCAACACUCUUCUUCGUUCUGGAUAGAAGCUUCGAUUGCAGCCAAACGUUGGUUAUAAGCAACUGCUUGAUCCUGUAUCCUGGUCUCAAGAUGACCAAUUUGAGCGGCUAAGCCUUCAAUUGUUUUAGCCAAGGCUGCAAGAUCCAUGGUUAAAUGAGGAUUCUUGGCUGGAGCUUGGACAGCUCUGAUACCAAAACUGAUGCAGCAAACCUCCUGCUUAGAUACCAGGAUCAACAAGCUCUAAAGCUUGGGGUUUUAAACACACACAAAACACUUGGAUUUGGGAAUCACUCCCUGGUUUCUCACCAAAUCUAGGCUUCUCACCCUAAAACUAGGCUUCACGCCAAUCCCAUCACAGGAAAACUCAGAAACACUCUGAUAAUUUUAUUCAUAUAACAUAGCAUAGCAUCCCUAUGUAGCCCUUACACUUAUUUAUACUUGAGCUGGUAGCUCAAAUGGACUGCACUAAAGACUCUUCUAAAACUGAAGCAUUAAAGACUCAUUAGGACCCUCUCCUGAAACUGAUGCAUUUAAGACCAACUUAAAGAGACCUUAAGACUUCUAAACUGAAAUGGAAAUAUGAAAAGACACAGGCAGCUUAGAGACUUCAGGAAUCAGACUUUGUUUCCCCUCCCGGGUGCAACAAUUAUUUUGAAUGAUUAGGUGCUUUCUCUUUCCAUUUGUUUCGCUCAUAAACCUUGAAAGGUUUGACUAUGAUGUCCUCAUCACAAAGAGCAAUAUGACAGCUCAGAACUAUUGAACAUGAAAAACAAUCUUGAAUUUGCUUCUUGUGAUGAUACACAGUUCACUUUUAGCUUUACCUGAAAUGCAGGUGGCUGUGGGGUACUUCUUGACAUUGCAGGUAAUGAUGGUGCUUCAAGAAUCUGUAACGACCAACAAAGUCCAGUGAAUCAACAAUAUAGAUCGUGAAUGAAAGUUGAGAUCAGGCCAUAAAUUGAGUACCUUUUUGUUUACUGGACGAGCCUUAAACUUGGGAAUUUUGGCCAUCAUCUCUUCUUCCAGCUCAGCAGUACUCUUCACUCUAACUGAGCGCACACGCUGUGAUGUCUCAAAUUCUGGCUCCUUUGGUCUUGUUAAGGUGAGUUUAGGCUUCAUCUGAAUAAUAGAAGCAACAUCAGCCUCUAGCAAAAAAAAAUUAUUCAACCUGACCAACUAAAUAUAUAUAAAAAAUAGUGUAAAGAAGUGAAACAACUUUGAGCAGGGUGAAGCUCCUUUACGUGUGAAAGAGAACCAUUAGCAUGCGGCAGCGACAAGUCUCUGGUACUUGAUUGGAACCUGUUCAUCAUUUCUGCCAUUGAAACAAAUGGUGCUGCAGGUUCCUGAACAUAAAUCUGUAGAUUGGGAAAGUAUCAACUACUCAAUUCUGAUAUUGCAUAACAACAUGGAGUGCAAAAGAGGGAUGAAAAGCACAAACCGUCCUGUCCUGUCCUCCUUUUGAGUUUUAAUAGCAGUUGAAAAAUGUGUGGCACUGGUAUGACCCAGUUUUGACUUGUGGAGCAAUGUUUGGGGUCUGGGAUUAAGAAUCUGCAUUUUAAGGGCACACAAGGAAAAACAGUCACAGGAAAUGUCUAGAAAUAAUCUUCACCAAACGACAACAAAGAGGCUUCUAGAUGUGAGUCAACACAAAUUACAGAACUAAAAGUAACCUGUCUAGAUCUUCCAACAUCCAACUUCUCCCACUUAAUUGCCUGAUUCUCCUGAGCUAACAUGGAUGUGCCACUUGCAUUUUUCACGUUCUCUUCUCUGUAAGUUUCAGUCAAGUAUACAAUUAGGACAUAGCACUGGCGUAUAAUGAAUUCAAGAAAUACCAGAAAAAGUGAAGCAUGCCAACCUUUUCAUAGUAUACGGUUUAAUAUGUGAAGAGUUCAAGUGACCUUUUCCCCUUGGCCCUGAUUGGUUUUUGGAAUCACUUGGAAGAUCUCCCUUCUUGGAAUAAUUCAUGGGUGGCUUUGGAAUACUAGCUAUGGAAUUACUAUUCUCCUUCUCAUUAGUUAUAUCAGUUCUCUUAUUGGAAGAUACUGCAGCAGCCAGAACACUGCAGAGAAGAAACACAAUGAGAAACCUUAGAGCUAGAAAGAGACCUAAGAGAGCAUUAUAUCAGCGGUAAGAGGAAAACUAACCUUCCAUCAUCUUUCAUGCAUUUGUCCUCUACUUUAUCAGCAGAAAUCUGAAAGCAACACAUUAGUGAUAAGGGGCCACAUGUAAUCAGGAAAAUAUCUAAAUGAAUAUUUGCAAAAAUUAAGAUGAAUUACUACAAUUUAAAUUAAUUAAUUAUCAGUUGAGUUCAGCUCACUCUCAUAGUUGCUAGGAUCAAAUUUAGCGCAGAUUUUUUCCCAUUAUACGUGAUUGCAGCUUUGUCAUAGGCCCUACAAAAAAGUGUACAUCAAUUCUCACUCCAAUCUUCAACUAAUUGUUUUUCUUCUUCCCAGAAACCAAUAAAUUCAAUAUCUGUAUCGCUAUCUGUAUCUGCAGCUUUGCAAACACGUACCUUCCGCAUCGUUCUCAGCAUCAAAUAAUCCCAAAUAAACGUACCUGUAAAAUCAAUCAUUAAGCUGUGUAAGAGAUUACAAAUGGGGCACACAAAAUUUUUCAUCGGCAUUUCAUGUCAUUUGACCAUCGAUCUAGACCGUAAAAAAAAUGAGGUCUAAAUAGGGUUGACAACAAAACAUACCGGACAAUAAAAUGAGUGAUAACUAAGAAAAGGGUUUACUUAAUUUUUGCCUAAAAAUUGGCUAAUCCGAGCCCUCCCAUAUCCCACACUUAUGCAAUGGCACUUCUCUAUAUUUUGAGCCGCCUCUAGGGAACCCAGUACUUUGUCGAAAAAGUACAUGCACACAUUCCUCCUUUGUUAAAUUGCCACGUUCAGCAACAUAUUACAAAAGAAUAUAAUCAAUCUUCCCCGUAUCCACAAAAUCAUUAAAAAAUAAAAAAUAAAAUUGAAUAGCUGGUUUUACUGUUGAAGAUAAGCUAUAAAACUGUUCAUAAUAAGUUCAGAGAAAACCACAAUCCCAAAAAACCUAGCUUUCUUAAGGCAAGAAUUGAAGAACUCAAGUCAGUACUCCAUGUCAUAGUCUUCAUAGUCUUCCAUGUCUAAAUUUAUGUCAGCCUCUACUCCCUGAACUUGAUCGCUGCUCUGUCAUACACUGCAAGACCAACAUGGAUAUUUUAUUUGCAAUGAUGAAACAGGUGUCCUUGUGUCAAUUCAUAGAAACUAUCUCAUUGGCAUUUCAUGUCAUUUGACCGUCAAUCUACACUGUUAAAAAAAUGAGGUCUAACUAGGGUCGACAACCAAAACAUACCGGAUAAUAAAAUGAGUGAUAAUUAAGAGAAAGGUUUACUUACUUUUCACCUAAAAAUUGACCCAUCCGAGUCUCCCAUCUCCCACAUUUAUGCAAUGGCACAAUAUUUUGAGCCGCCUCUAGGGAAGUAGGGAACCCAGUACUUUGUCGGCAAAGUACAUGCACACAUUCCUCCUUUGUUAAAUUGCUCAUCCGUUCAGCAACAUAUAACAAAAGAAUAUAAUCAAUCUUCCCCAUAUCCACAAAAUCACAAGAAAAAAUAAAUUUUAUUAAUUAAAUAACUAAUUGAAUAACUGUUGAAGAUAAGUUAUAAAACUCUAAAGGCAAGAAUUGAAGAACUGAAGUCGGUACUCACUUGUUUCAAGUCAUCUUCAUAGUCUUCAAUGUCAUCAUUCAUGUCAGCCUCUACUCCCCUCGCAGCUCUAUCAUACACUGCAGAAAAUAAUUUAUAAUAAGCAACUAACUAAUCAUUAAAAUUUCUACAUGUUCUUGGUUUCAUUGCUUUUGACUAUCCUCCUAACCAUUUCUAGAGCAAGGAUGAGCUCUUCCUCUAAUUUUUAGUCUGUUUGUUUUUUCUGCUUUGUGUCUUUUUCACCUGUUUGUAACCAAAAAAAAAGUCAAGCCUCAGGUACCUCACUCAAUCUCAAACGUAAAAUACUUGAGUAUCCAGUCUUUCUCUCUUUCUAUUCUAUUGCAAAUCCACAGAGAUUGAAAUGUGAAUGAAUUUGGCUAGAAAACAUAUCUUGUUUGCAUAUACCGGAUGUAAAUUGUUUUUGGCCAUACACAGCAAUCAAAUCUGCAACUAAAUAUUUUUGCUCAGAACUGUCAUCAUUAACAUUCAACGGGUACAUUUUUGGAAUUUUAGAUGCAUUGCAUUGUAUGCAUUUUAUCUAUGUGUAUAUAUCUCUGAUGAACAGCUAAAUCCUAAUGUGAGUUAUGAAAAGGUCUGCAAUCACACCCAAUGUGAAAAGUAAAAUAAACAGAACACAGACCUUCAAUACGGAAUUGAGUCCCAGCAAGCUUUACCCUUCACCGAACCUGCAAAAAAAAUAAAAGUAUUCGCAAGACCCAAUCCAAAAUCCAACUGGUCAUGUGAAUAAAUAAUAACACACUCAAAACUCACAUAUCAAAAAAGGACUUCAUCCAUACAGUACUCAUUUAAUCACAUUGCAUACAACAUUGCAAUCCUAAAUUCUUAACCUCAUAAAAGCUGAAAGUCCUCCUAUCGUAUCUAAAGAUGGAAAAAUCUGUCUGCAUUAUAAUAUAGCAGCAAUCGUUCUUAACAAUGCAAUGGAGCUUCUCCAUUUAGAAGGCAAAAGAGCAACCAAUUUUGCAGCUCAUCAUCAGAAUUUUAUUUUAUUUUUACAUGUACAAAGUGUACCUCAAAACUUUAUCCAAUCCCGCCCUCGUUCUUCAUUCAAAAUCUCAAUCUCAGUCCAAGUAGUCCGGCAUUUGAACGAGGAAAAUAACAACAGGGCAGGUAGAUCAGAAACAGUUCGGAUAUCAAAAAGAGAGCAAAGAAGAUCAAAAAUUCAGAUUCACAAUUUAAAAAACCAAAUAACAAACUUAGGAGAAGUAAGCACACCUGAAAAAAUAUAACCCCCUUACAGCCUCACACACACAGAGCACCACCUUCAAUCUAAAAUCCAAUUCCAAAACACAUGCAGAACAGCAAACCAAACAGUUAAAGUAAAAAGGAAGUGAAAAUACUAAUCAAAGUUGAGGAAACAUUCGAGUGACUACAAUACUCAAACUCGUAUUCCAUCGGUCAAACUUGUACUCAUUCUUCGGUUCAUCUCUUUACCUCAGGAUAAUACACAAAACAGAUGCUUGAAUUAAUUUUAGUUUAAAGAAAGGAUUGCUGAUCUAAAAGUGAAAAUAAAAUUCAGUGUGAAAGACGGAUUUCUUACCAGAUUUAUAGGAUCUAAACGCGAUUGUCUUUCCACUAAGCUCCAGAGCUGCACAUUAUUCACCAGAAAGAAUUUAAGUCACAUUUAACACCAAACUCUAAUAGUUUUUUAACCUUUACAAUACUAAAAACAAAAGUAAAGAAGCAAUCAUCACCUUUCCAGCAGCAUUGCCCUGUACAAAUGAAAGGAAUAAAUUGCAAAACUGAUACAACAAUAAUGAACUUGAAGAGCAUGACCAAGUUGAAAAAUCCAUGUUGAUAAGUAUCAUUUCAGUAGGCAACUAUUCAUAUAUUCAAGUGCAUCAAUCAUAUUGCAUGAAAUAAAGUAUUCCAAGCAACCAAUUUUGAUUAAAAUCCUUAUCAGACUGCACUAAACAUAUAAUGAAAUCAGAAAUUACUCAGCACUGACGCAAUAGAUCAGUGACACCAAUUCCCCUCAUAUAUUGUUGUGCUCUGCCCUCCUGCAAUAAUUUUCAUCAGUGGCAACAAUAUCAAAAUGAAAACGUCAAGUCUCAGUACCUAAAUAUCCUAAACUUUGGACCACAAUUGACAUGGGCACUUACAGUGAGAACAAAUUCUGCAGCUGAUAAGUUCCUGAGGAAUCAAAAAUUUCACAAUCAAGCUAUCCGUAUAGAUGCAACAGCAUCUAUAUCGAACCUAAAACUCACUUUCCAAGCUUCACUUUUCAUAUCUAGUCCGUCUCAAUCCAAUUUAAGACCAGCUCUUUAUAUUCACAAACUUUCCAAAACAAACACCCAAUUUACAACCAAUGCACAUUGCACUAUCAACGCCAUAUAUAAUCUGAACGCACAAAAACCCACCAAAAAUUGAAAAGCAGCAUGCUUUAGUACAAUAACGAUUGGAUCAAAUACACCUUAUAAACCCCAACGUAAUUCUAAUUAAACACUUGUUUGAAAGAAAACAUAUCAAUAAUUAUACCUGUAACCCGGAAAACCCAGAAUUACCAUCCCUGUUCUUGCUGAUGUUACGCUGCAAAUUUCGUCAGGAUCGGAAAGAGAUCAACAUAGAUCGGAAACAGUUCAAAUUUCAAAAAGAGAGCAAAGAAGAUCGAAAUUCACAAUAUAAAAAACGAGAUAAAAAAAACUUAGGAGAAGUAAGCAAUCAUGGAAAAAUAUAACCCCCUUAUAGCCUCACACACAGAGCACCACCUUCAAUCUAAGAUCCAAUUCCAAAACACAUGCAGAUCAACAAACCAAACAGUUAAAAGUAAAAGGUAGGAAGCAAAAAUACUUAUCAAAGUUAAGGAAACAUUUGAGUGAACCCAACCGUUCUUAAGUAAAACUGUUGCACAAUUCCUAAAUGUCACACUUUCCUUGGCAUGACUUUAAUACAGAUACAGAGAAGUCAUGAAAAGGUUAAAGCUCUUCACUUUUUUCUAUUUUCCUUUUGCUGAGUGGUUUGAUCCGAAUUGAGAUAUUGUUUGGUAUCAUUGGUAAGUACUAUCAAAAUCGGGUUUACAGACUGGGGCUUGGGGAAACAAAUUCAAACAAAUAGGAACUUCUCACUAAGUUUGAAGCACAGUUCUCAAGCAUGAAAACCUAAAAACUGUAAAUAAACAUGACUUGAGACCCAAACUAAGUGUAAACUUCAAAAAUUCAUUUCUCACCUGAAAUUAAACAAACAGGAGAAGCUUUAGAAAUCUAUAUGGAUAGCAUAAUUGAGUAUAGAUUAAGAAACAUGAAAAUUAAAAAUCAAGCAGAUGAAAGCAAAGUUCUCUUUCUUUGAAGCCACAAUAUAAUCGAUACAGUUUUCUUUAUUUGAGUACAUUGCAUGCAAAAUUUGUAACUUACCUGAAAAACAGAAAAAACAACAAACUAAAAUCAGCAAACUAUAUACUGGAAUUCGGAGCAAUCGAUCAUUGAGGUGCUAGACUGCCGCACAGACAAAACCCGAAUCAGCUCAAAUCAAGGAAAAAGAAAACCCAGUCAAAAACAACAAUGUGCAUCACAUUCAUCAACAGAUAAAACAUGUUGUUAUGUUCGAAAAGAUAGUGACUACCGAAGAUCAAAGCAAUCGAGCUAGUAAUUACAUUCACCAUCUUUAGUUUCCAGCCAGGUCCAGUUAUCUCUCCAAUUAGCAUUUGGGGGUACUCAAUAGCAAAAAGAAGAAAGAAACGACAAUCAGAUUGAAACUGAGAAAGAAAGAAAAAUAGUUUUCUUUAUUUGAGUAUAUUGCAUGUAAACUGUAAUUUUACCUGAUAAACUGCUAAAAAAUAAAAAUCAAAUCAACAAGCUAUAUACUGCAAUUCUGUGCAAUCGACAAUUGAGGUCCUAGACUGCAGAACAGACAAACGCCAAAUCAGCUCAAAUAAGGUAAUGGGAACCGGUUAACCUUCUUCAAAUGAUAAGCUCAACUCAAACAGUAUAAAAACCACUCGACUUAUCUAUUCGAUCUGAGCAGAGGAUUAGGAACUUCCCAAAUCUAUAGUCCCACGAAUCCAUCUUGGGGAAAAUUUAUAUUUGCACUCUUUGCAUUCAAACACGAAAUUUCAUGCCAACACACAAAAUAAUUCAAAUGAAAACACAAUAAAAAUUCAAAUUCAAAUGCAAACGCAAAAGCCAAUAAAGUCGAGCAUAACAACAUCAAGAAUAUACCUGAGAAACUAACAAAUUGGAUCCCACCCAAAAUCAACCAAACUCGACCAGGCACAUGUUAACAAAUCCUCCAUAGAUUUUCACUCAAAGAUAUCUCAUCGGCUCCACGCCGAAAAUGAAAACAAAAAAAUGGAUAGAACCAAAAGAAAAGGAUAAGAAAUACUGAGACAUUAGAGAACACGAAGAACACGAAGCUUACUUGAAUCAAUCACCCAAAAACAACCAACGCCCACAGCCACACCCGACAAAAACAAAACGAAGAACCAAGAAGCAACUUCAGAACAAAAACAAAUCAAAUCAAAUGCAAACCAAAAUCAAAAACUUAGCAGAAGUAAAACAUACCUGGAGAAAGAUCACUCCUCUCAAGCUCGAUCACAACAUGCAAAGAGAAAUUUUCUGUUCGGAAAUCAAUUCGUCCAAUUCAAAUUCAGCAUCAGAUAAAAGAAAGGUACGAAAUUGAAAAACCCGAAUAUAUAUGAUUCAAAUUGAGGAAUAGUUGUUAGAUUCCCUUCUACUAUGACUACUUUAUUUCUACAAAAAAGAAAGGCAAAAAAGAUAGUUAGCUUUACCCGAGGACGACGCUAGAAUCAAUUUACUGAGUUUUUGGACUACAGUUACAGCUUAAUUUUCUUGGCAUCCUAAAUCCUUCGUAUCAGCUCAUUCUUCGUACCAGCUCAAUUGAUAUCAUGAUAUGCAUGAUAAAUAAAACUAAUAAAAGAAAAAUAAAGGAGGACGAACAGAAAGCAAAAGUUUGUCUAUCAGGAGGAAGAACCUUAUGUGCUCCAUCAGGGGGCUUGAUCAGUCGCAUCCAUCAUUCGGUUUGUAUGAUCAAUAAGUUACUGAUUCACCAGCAAAUUUUGAAGAUGACGUUCAGUUCCAAUAAUAAACGAACCCUGAAAUAACCAUAAUUUUAGUGCACAGAGUGCAUUGGGACUGCAAUUCAACUAAUAGCCCCAGAGAAGAUCACCUGCAGAAACCAGAAACUUAUCACUAUCAGUUUAGAGUUAGGAAUAUGACUAUACCAGUAAACUGGACAACAAAUGAACAAAGCAACCUACCAAUGUCAUUUUUUAUAUACUUGCCAACUUAUUUUUGAUAUAUUGGAAAUGCUUGUUAGAAUUUAAUGGUAACUGUAGCUUUGAAUGAGACAUUUGUACUGAUUUAGCAAUUAGUUCAACCUUUACAAUAUAUUUUUGAAGUACAUGCAUAUUCAUAAGAAAUUCACCCGAAACUGUUAUUUAAUCAAAAAUUGAAAAUGAAGGGAAAAAAUGAAUUCUGAAGUACAUGCAUAUUAGCAGGAAUGAAAUUGAAGAUUAUUUCCAAUGCAAAAAUGAACUGAAGAAAGACAACACAAAGUUUACCUAGUUGUUCCCAUUCAAUUGCUUCCGAUAUCGAUUGACAUUGAGCACCUAAACGAACAACCAAGAACCAAAUCAGAACCAAAAAUGAACAGAAUAUUUCAAAUCACAUCUUUGAAUCCUAGAGGUACCCAAAGAAAUGAAAAGGGAACCUGGACACAUGAAAAGUUGGAGAUGAUCAAUCAAAAUCUUGGCAUGCACAUCAUCUUCAGAGAUCGAUGUGAGGGUGGACAGACCAACAUCUCCCAAACCCACCGCCGCUUCUUAACCCUCCUCCCAAACCCCAUCUUCAGUUUUCACUUGCAGAUACCAAAUGAAGUCAAUUUCAGAUUUACUUUAAAACUUUUGGCUAAUCGCGUAUCUAUUCAACUGUAAAUCAAAACGUGUUAAUAGCUGCCAAACUUACACAAACAAUACUGAAUAUCAAACACCAUAGAAUGUUAACAGAAACUAAGGAGAGAAAAAUUACGAAAAAGAUUCAGUAUGAACCAAGUUAUAAGCUUCAUUUGAUUUCGAUAACUUCACUUUUGUUGUAUAUAGUUCAUUUUCAUCACACAAAAAAUCCCUCUUGCUGACUUCAAAUCCUUAAACUUGUAAUUAACAAACCUUGCAACAUAAGGCAAUGUGAACUUUCUCCAUAUGUUCAUAAAACACUGUGACAGGUUCAGAAAAUACAACUCAAGCUCUGAAUUGGUUGCAUUAAUCUAUAUUCUAUACCUUUGGCGCCUUUUAUAUACAUUUAUAGAAAUUUAUAUGCUUUACGGAUAAGAUUAAGGAAUGCAAAUGCCAGCAGUAUCAUAAAAGAUCUCAUCUAAAAGCAGAGACUGGAAAGAUUAGUAAGACAACAGAUUUAGUAUUCAAACUUAGGAUCUCAAAACUGAAACUUCAAACGCUGUGGUUGUCAGCAAAGACAAUACCUCUGCAAAUAGUCUUCUUUGUUCAAAUAGGUAAGGAAUCCAGCAAUGAUGAUGUCCUUGUUUGCCGAAUUACCUCCUGCAAGAGAAUAUUUCAGAAUUCUUUUUAAGCAGUGAGAGACUAAUAAAUCAAGACGUUUCAACGAUUUGAAGAAGCUUUCCAAGGCAUUUAGUCAAAGUAAAGAGAUGUAAAGUGAAGCAUACCCGGAGAAAGAUCACUAUUCUCGCUGAGAUGUAAGCAAUCAAAAUAACCAACUCAAUCAAACGGAGUCCACCCCUGCAGCAGCAUGCAUACAGGAAAAUUAAAAUUCCACAUCACUUUACAUGAAAUGAACUAAUACUGUAACUAAAAAGUAAAGAGAAGCACAGUACAUCAAUAAGCACAGCAUUUCUAAGAAUUGGAACCAAGAUGAGAUUUGGGAAGGACACAGACAAAUCCCAAACUUUUGCUGCUUCCAAUCAGGAGUUUCAGUAUUUAAAAGCAUGUUACAGUGUACAAUCAAAAUCACAGUGGGAGAUAAUAGCAAGUACCUCAACUGUGCUAGGAACUUGAGAAAGGAAAUUCAUAGGUUAAAGCUUCUUUAGUUCAUCUCUUUACCUCAGGAUAAUCCACAAAACAUACGCUGGAAUUAAUUUUGGUUUAAAGAAAGGAUUGCUGAUUUAAAAGUGAAAAUAAAAUUCAGCGUGAAAGACGAAUUCCUUACAUUCACCAUCUUUAGUUUCCAGCCAGGUCCAAUUAUCUCUCCAAUUUAGUAUUCGGGUGGCACUCGAUAGCAAAACGAAGAAAGAAAGAAAGAAACAAAAAUCAGAUUGAAACUCAGUAAGAAAGAAAGAAACACAGUUUUCUUUAUCUGAGUAUAUUGCAUGUAAACUGUAACUUUACCUGAUAAACUGCUAAAAAAUGAUGAUCAAAUUAGCAAGCUAUAUACUGGAAUCGAUCAUUGAGGUCCUAGAUAGCAGAACACACAAACGCCGAAUCAACUCAAAUCAGGUAAUGGGAACGGUUAUCCUUCUUGAAAUGAUUAGCUCAAUCCCAAACAGUAUAAAAACCACACAAAAACUGGAUGAAAAAAUUUGAAAAUUCAAAAGCACUCAACUUAUCUAUUCGAUCCGAGCAGAGGAUUUGGGAACUUCCCAAAUCUAUAGUCCCACGAAUCCAUCUUGGGGAAAAUUUAUAUUGCACUCUUUGCAUUCAAACACCAAAUUUCAUGCCACCAAAAAAAAUUCAAAUCAAAACACAUUAAAAAUUCAAAUGCAAACGCAAAAGCCAAUAAAGUCAAGCAUAACAACAUCAAGAAUAUAAUGAAACUCCCGAUGAAAAUGAACUUUAAAAGGUGUUAAUGGGGCUGGGCUAGGGGUAUGAAUUUAAGAGAAGGUAUUGCAAAAUUCUUAAGGACCUAGCAGAGCAUUCAAACACACCUUAUGUCGCCAAAGCAAGGGCCAAAUGUCAUCAUUCUGGGCCCUUCGUCAUUUCAACCACUUUACAACAUCAUGAAACAGAACAAAGGCCAAGUAAUUUCAUUUUUGGGCCUUCCAUUUACAGUCAAAAUUCCCAUUUCACAACACAGAGAAUGUCCAAUUUUUCUUUUUUUUUUUUUCUUUUUUGUCCCCCGCCGAAAUUUUCUUUUCUUUUACACAGACAUUCAAUUCCCCCACACUUGUUUCACAUCAUCAUUUCAUACGAUACAUCACAAUUGCUCUACUAGGCCCAAAGGACAAGGGUAGGGAUAUCAUUGUACUAAGCUCAAGGUAAAAAUUCCACGGGUGUUAGAAAAAAAAGUCUCAAUGUAGGCUCAAAACUAAGGGGUGUGCAGCGCACACAAAUAGGGGACGCAAGCUGUUUGGCAAUGGUGUUCAUCCUAAAAAGUUCCAUUUAUCCUUUCCAAAAUCAGAGUGUUUUAUGAUUAAAAGUUUCGAAAGUCCACAAGAGUGAGUUCUAGUCAUCUAGAGUUCAUUAAAAGCUAUGGUGAGCAAUCAAUCAAAUUGAAAGAAUAAUGAGGUUUUCGAAAAAUUCAAAGCUAAGAAAACGAAUCAGAAUUUUUCAAUAAUCACUCAUCAGAAAGAAUAGCACAUAUAUAGGCUCAAAAGCUCACAUUGGGUUCAUAUGAAUCAAAACUCAUAUUAGCAUGCUCAUUUCUGUACCAAAGUUUCAAAUCAUAUCCACUACAUUUCACAUGAUUUCCAUUCAUUUCAAUUAACAAACCGAACAUCAGUUAUAAAUCAGCUCAAUCUUGUGAUCUCUUAUCCAUAAUUUCAGAGAUUUUAAUCAUCAUAGACAAUUAAGGGCUCUUAUGACUCGAAAACAAACAAAAGACUCAGAAAGCAAACGAAUGGUUAGAAUAUAAGCAUGGAAACAUGGAUUCACACAAACAACACACUGUCAAACUAAUAAAUGCGAAAAACAAAAUGGAAAAAUAAAGGAAGAGUUCAAGAAGACCAAUCUCCGUUGAUGGCUCGUCCAUAGCUACGGUUGAAUUGGGUUGCCUCCCAAGCAGCGCUUAAUGUUUAUAGUCUUUCAGCCUAGACUUGUACCUCCAUUUUAGCUCUGUGUGAAUGGCGUAUCCUGUACUUCCUCCACAAUGUGCUCUUUAAAGGCCUCAAAGUCAGGCUUCAAUUUGUGGUCAUUCACCUUAAACGCCUUAUGAUGAGUCUAAAAAUGACGGCCAAUCAUCUUCAACUCAUUGCUGGUCACUUCACGUUCAAUCUAUGUAGCAUCUCCAUGGAAAUCUUUAGUGUAAGUGGGAACUACCGUGCAUGUGAAGGACGUGAGGUUCUUGAUCGACUAAGUUCCUUUAGCCGUAUGAUAUUUCCUGGAAUUCAAAGCAUACGUUAGUAAAUGUAAAAUGAGAUGCAUAAAAUGAGAAUGAUAAUGAAAUGCAGUGUAAUGAAUGAGAAUGCAACUAUUUUGAUGAAGAAACAUUUUGGUACCAGACUCGACAUUUACAACAAUUUAAACCUAUGUCUAAGUUAAUUUUAUCUCUUUAACACUUAGGUACAACCUUUUGGCUCUCACAUACAACUUAAGCUUUUCAAAAUGAUACCUUAUGAAUAAGAAGCCUAACCUCCCAAUUCCCUACAUAAAAGGGCUCUCCUAGCCUGUCUUGUUUUGCAUUAUCUAUAAUUCCUACACAAUAAGAAGCCUAGGAAUUAUCUACAAUAUAGUCCUGUUAAAUAAAAUACUUUCCAACACGAGUGUUGUGCAUUAUGAUCCUUGUUUUGCAUUUAAAAUAAAAAAACACAGCCAGUUUACUGAAGAAAAAAAAAUGAAGAACACUUAUUUCCGUUCCUCCUCUUUACGUAUGAGACCUUGGACCGGUAAACAAAGAAUGUCAUAAAGCCAUUUACGGACCUCAGGAGCUUAAACAAAAGAGGAAAAGAAAUUGUCAAAAAUAGAUCACAAACUUAUCAACUACAAAUAAUUUACCGCACAAAUGUAAGUAAGUUUCAGAUAUCAGAGAUUACUAUGCGAUUCAAGAACUAAUUGCACUAAAAGAACACUAAUGUAUUACAGUAAAAGUACCACAUAGAGUUUGACAAAAAAUUGUGCAAGUUUCCUAACCCAGCCACGAGCAGGAUCAAAACUUAAACGUUGUUUUUUAUCUUACCUCAAAGAAAAGCUUGUCGGUCCAGGAACAUUCUCUCACCGGUCCCUUAAUGUUGUUGCUUUUCAGGUACUCCUGCAUUGUUGCAAUAAAUGAACCCCAACUGAAAAGAAAAGAAAAACAGGAUCAGCUCAAAUUCACAAACAUUAAAAAAUGAAAAUCUAGGAAAAAUUGAAAGGAUUACCAAGACCACAAAAAUAGACCAAGUCACAACUGUCCAGAGCCAACCAAAUCCAAAACCUCCCUAGUUCCCUUCACCAUAGUUUCAGUAGCUGAUACUGUAACAAGAAAACCCAUAAUCAGCAUCCAAUUUACACAGAACCCGAACUAAAAAUUGAACAGCGAAUGCAGGCACAGAUAGGAUACUUCAAUCAACUUUUAUACUGCAAUCAACCCUAAACCCAAUCAGUUAAAAACCAACAGCAACAAUGAACAAAAUCAAAACCCACAAAAAGGACGAACCAAGUCAUUACCAGUGCAAGCCAAGUUAACGUGUAUUAGAAAAUACCUUUCAACUAUUCAGUGCACUUAAACAAACCAAGUCAUUACCGGUGCAAGCCUACAAAUCCCAAACAGCCCAGAAAUAUGAGUAGGCCAAUGACAAAUAAAAAGAAGAGGGUCAGUUAGUGUUUAAGCUAAGGGCUAGAGUAAAUGUGGGUUAACAAAUAUAAAGGCUAAUAUGUUAGGCUCAAAGGGGUUAACCUAAAGAUUACUGUUUAGUAGGAUUAUGAUUGGUUUGGCCAUGGUUCUAAUCUAGAGCCUCCGUCGUUUCCAAAACAUCACAAAUUUGACACGAAGCCUCAAGAGGUCUAAAACAAGUUCUAGAGAUGCACACCAAUUGGAAUUUGGACACAUGAUGAACAAGUGACAUGAAAAAUGCAUGUUCACAAUAUAAGGCUCAAAAUAUCUCACAAUAGGUCAUGCGUGUCUCGUACAAGUCUAGAUACAUGCUCUUUCAAAUCUAACAAAUUGAAGUAACCAGGCCAUCUGCAUACACUACAAAAGCAAAGUCACUAACCAAUGAUUGAGCUCAACCGAUCUAAAACAUGCUUACUCUUUCAUUCAACUCAAAUGUGGACAUAUUCAUCAUCGGGACUAGUCAAAGAAGAUAUAUAACUACUCAAUUUCACAAGAAAACACAAAGAAGAAAAAAAAACUGAAAUUAAAAUGGCACACAAAAAGAAAAAGAAAGGUUUAUACAAACCUCACCCCCACACUUGAACUUAACAUUGUCCUCAAUGUUAAAAUGAUGGAAUCAAGCAAAAACCGCAAUGAGAAAUUCAAGUGUGCAGAAAGGUCGGGCGAAGGCCCAAAAUAACUAACAACUAUGGUCAAGAAAAGUGAAACAGUACUCCCUUUGUAGAUCUCCCAAUGCACACGACCUUUGGUGAAGAUACGAUAGACACCAUCCACAAGGAAACAAGGCCUUGACUUCCUCCAAGCAAAACGCACCUCACACAUUGCAGCUUGACCUCAAUUACUCUCUAGGGCUUAGUGUAGCUUCAAAUAAAGUGUGGCCAAUUCUAACAGAAACUAGACUCCUUGAGCUUUAAGUGCACAAAAAAUCUCCUCUAGAGUCGUUGUGUGUCAAGAGAUAUGGGUCUUCAAAGAUGACUGAGCUGCAGUCUCAGUUUUUGCAUUUUAUGGCUCUGACCCCUGCCCCUUUUAAUGGGGACUGAAACUUCACCUUCUUUCCGUUGAAAAUUCUGAUCGUACAGUGAAAAAGUAGAGACCCGGAGCUUGAAGUUUUAUGUAUGGACGUCCCAAUUAUUCCUUGUAGAUAUCUCACAGUAGCUUGGCAAAUUUGACACACAGUUUCUGAAAUCUGCUGCUGACCCCCAGUCACCAAAACUGCAAUAACUGAUGCUCCAGAGAUGCAAAGGGGGUGAGACCACUUGUGAAUGAAAGGUUACACACACUACUGACUUCCCGUAAAAUUUUACUUUUUAACUCAUUGUCAUCUGGGAAAUAUCUCUCUUCAAAGUUGACUGUUCUGCUCUCCAGUUUCUGCCUACUCUGCUCUGACCCUUGCUAACUUGGAACACCAAAUAAGAAGCUAGGAAGUUCCAACAUGAAAACUGUUUUUCAAAGGUACAGUAGACAUGUCAAGGCACAACAUAUAAAAGUUUCAGCUCAAAAUACUACCAGGUUAAGGAGUUGUAGCUUUCCAAAAGUCAGAGUACAGAAGCUGCACUGAUUCUGACAUUCAGGCCAUAACUGCUUGAUAAAUGGAGUUCCAGGGCUUCAAAAUGAAAACUGUUUUGCAGGCAUUUAGGUGACAUAAAGGGCUACAUUUCUGGAAAUUUUCACCAACAAAUCCUUCCCGAGCUGUAAAUUAUAGGCUCCCAAAGUCACUUCAGAAAACUGGGGGGAAAUUGUACUUCAAACAAACGUCAGUUUUCGCCAUGCCAUCACUUCACACACCUUCCUAUCACCCAAUGAUGGUCAAAUAACCUUAUUAACUACAAGAUGAAACUCAAAAGAUCAAAUUACCAAGGGUUGCCUCCCUAGAAGCGCUUGAGAUAAAAGACGUCAAGCCUGUCUCCAAACAACACAAACGAAAUGAAGAAAUUAAACACAAAGGAAAAGAAGUGGAAAAGCGGCCCAAAGCUACCUAAAUAGGUACACCAUGGCCUUGGAACACAAAGAGGUGCUCCACACUUCAUCCGACAAAACACAAACUGAGAGAUUUUUUUUUNUUUUUUUUUUUUUGUGGCAUAACAAGUUGCCAAACAUUUUUCAUUAAUUCACACACAAAGACAGAAGCAAAGAGGAAACUACAAAGAACAUGCAAGUGACUAAAUGACCAUGUGAUUAACAGAUUCCUCCUCUUGCUUACUCGUACAAAAUAAAUCAAGUUACUGAUUCUCUAAUAAAGAACCAAUUCAAUUUGUCAUAUAAAUGAGAACCCUACCCUAAAUCAAUGAACCAUAAUAUCAGUUAGCACCCGCCAAUAACUCCCAUCACAUAAAUUCUCCCAAAUUCGUAAUUCCCACAUCAUAUACUAAAGCAAGUGAUUUUAAUCACUUCUUGUAUCAAAAUCACGACAGACGUCUCAGUCAAAUAAAAAAUUCAAUCAAUUUUAUAUCCAAUUAAUCUAAAAUAAGUUGUACAAUGAAAAAUUAUAAAGUAUAAUUAGCCAAAACUGACGUGUCACAGGAAAACAGAGAAAGGCAUACCUCUCUCCUUUCAAAUUCAAUCUUCUCCUCUUCCGUGUCAUUCACCUAUUACAUAGUAACAGUUUGACUUCUGUACAUAGGAAGAAAUCACGCAACAGACAAAGUUGUUCACCAAAAUGUUAGUAACUUGGAAAACUUGCCCGUAACUAAUGCUUUCCAUUUCUCACUACCGAAUUUAGCUUCUAAUUCAGCCACAUCAUUUGUCUAAAUAACAUAAGUCCACCAACGGCAUUCAUACAUGAAAUUUAGCUCAAAUGUAAACAGAUAGGAAUUAUAUAUAAUAUAGUCCUGUUAAAUAAAAUAAUUUCUAACAUGUGUGUUGUGCAUUAUGAUCCUUGCUUUGCAUUUAAAAUAAAAAAACACAGCCAGUUUACUGAAAAAAAAAUUAAUAACACUUAUUUCUGUUCCACUUUAGGUAUCAAUCGACUGGUAAACAUAGAAUGUCAUCAAGGCAUUUACUGACCUCAGGAACAUAAUCAAAAGACGAAAAAAAAUUGUCGAAAAUAGAUCACAUACUUACAAACUACAGAUAAUUUACCGCACUGAUGUAAGUAAGUUUCAGAUAUCAGAGUUUACAAUGCUAUUCAAGAACUAAUUGCACUAAAAGAACACUAAUGUAUUACAGUAAUUGUACCACAUAGAGUUUGACAAAAAAUUGUGCAAGUUUCCUAACCCAGCCAUGAGCAGGAUCAAAAAUUAAACGUUGUUUUUUAUCUUACCUCAAAGAAAAACUUGUCGGUCCACGAACAUUGUCUCACCAGUCCCCUAUUGUUUCUUUUCAGGUACUCCUUAAUUGUUGCAAUAAAUGAACCCCAACUGAAAAGAAAAGAAAAACAGGACCAGCUCAAAUUCACAAACAUUAAAAAAUGAAAAUCUAGGAAAAAAUGAAAGGAUUACCAAGACCACAAAAAUAGACCAAAUCACUACCGUCCAGAGCCAACCAAUCCAAAACCUCUCUAGUCCCCUUCACCAUAGUUUCAGUAGCUGAUUCUGUAACAACAAUAAGAAAACCCAUAAUCAGCAUCCAAUUUACACAGAACCCGAACUAAAAAUUAAACAGUGAAUUUGUUGAAGGUGUAUGCAGGCAUAGGAUACUGCAAUCAACCCUAAACCCAAUCGGUUAAAAACCAACAGCAACAGUAAACAAAAUCAAAACCCACAAAAUGGACGAACCAAGUCAUUACUAGUGCAAGCCAAGUUAACGUGUAUUAGAAAAUACCUUUCAACUAUUCAGUGCACUUAAACAAACCAAGUCAUUACCAGUGCAAGCCUACAAAUCCCAAACAGCCCAAAAAUAUGAGUAGGCCAAUGCCAAAUAAAAAGAAGAGGGUCGGUUAGUGUUUAAGCUAAGGGCUAGAGUAGAUGUGGGUUAACAAAUAAAAAGGCUAAUAUGUUAGGCUCAAAGAUUACUGUUUAGUAGGAUUAUGAUUAGUUCGGCCAUGGUGAAGAUACGAUAGACACCAUCCACAAGGAAACAAGGCCUUGACUUCCUCCAAGCAAAAGGCACCUCACACACAGUGAACAAGUAGAGACCCGGAGCUGGAAGUUUUAUGGAUGGAAGUCACAGUUAUUCCUUGUAGAUAUCACAGUAGCUAGGCAAAUUGGACACACAGUUUCUGAAAUCUGCUGCUGACCCCCAGUCACCAAAACUGCAAUAACUGAUCCUCCAGAGAUGCAAAGGGGUUGAGACCACUUGUGAAUGAAAGGUUACACACACUACUGACUUCCCGUAAAAUUUUACUUUUUAACUCAUUGUCAACUGGGAAAUAUCUCUCUUCAAAGUUGACUGUUCUGCUCUCCAGUUUCUGCCUACUCUGCUCUGACCCUUGCUAACUUGGAACACCAAAUAAGAAGCUAGGAAGUUCCAACAUGAAAACUGUUUUUCAAAGGUACAGUAGACAUGUCAAGGCACAACAUAUAAAAGUUUCAGCUCAGAAUACCACCAGGUUAAGGAGUUGUAGCUUUCCAAAAGUCAGAGUACGUAAGCUGCACUGAUUCUGACCUUCAGGCCGUAACUGCUUGAUAAAUGGAGCGCCAGGGCUUCAAAAUGAAAACUGUUUUACAGACAUUUAGGUGACAUAUAGGGCUACAUUUCUGGAAAUUUUCAUGAUCAAAUCCUUCCCGAGCUGUAAAUUAUAAGCUCCCAAAUUCACUGCUGAAAAUUGGGCGGAAACUGUAGUUCAAACAAACUGUCACAAUCCAAAAUUCAAUACCCAUAUCUCAAAUUGCCAAAAAUCGGAAGCACAUAACCGAAUUUCAAAUUCACCAUGAAAUAAGAAUACCAAAUGAUAACCCACAACCACAACUGAAAUCAAACAAAGAAUAACCCAGACUGCUAUGCCAAUUGACCGGACAUGAACAAAAGAAAAUGCAUUGCAGCUUACUUGUUUAGCCCCUCUCCAUCUCUCUCAACAUCUCCGGAAGCGGAUUAGCAUCUAGACCUGCAAAGAAAGGAACCUACCAUGUGUUAGUAACUGACUAAUAGGUGAUGCCUGGAGACUGCAUAAAUAGGAUGACAGUUGCAUAAAUUUGUUGUCAAAGAAGAGAGAUCAAUAAAAAGAAUGCUUUAUAAAUAUACUUCCUUGGCAUGACAUCAAUCUAUACAGUUACAAUGUGAAAAGAGAAAUAGAGUCUUCAACCCACACAUGCAAACACAAUACCCAAUCUUAUUGAAAAAGAGAAAACCGCAAUGUACAGAGAGAUUAACAAAAGGAAUUUAAAUAUCAUUAUCUCAUAACACUGAAUAUAGAGUUGGUGGAUUUCCAUUUGAUGGAAGGUGAGCAACAAAGUCCUUGGGAAAUAUAAAGCACAAAUUAGAAAAUACAAUCAGACAAAAAUAAUAUAAAACUACAGAAAAGUAUAGCACUGAAGUUAAUACAAUUGAAAGGUAAUUCAUUAAAAUUAUCAUAUAUAGAACAGAUAGAAAAAAAAAAAAAAAAAAAACAAAAAAACCUUAAAAACCCACUAACUGAGCUGUUUGCUGCCUGGGCGCAGUAGUGCGAACGUAGAGUCUCAAAUGGUGCCUCCUCCGCCAGAUGGAAACAAAAAAUAGAAACAAAACUUAUGAGACUGAAGCACAGAGUAGUAAGCAAAAAUUACAUAAAAAUUGAUUAACAGAAGACAGAGACUACCCAACGGCAUUUUAAUGAGAUCACCAGAUCAUACCUGUAAGUCAUACUUGUAAUCAAAUAUAUGUGAUUCCAUCAGAAAAUAUAAAAUUUACAGCAA